GGGUGUGAGGACAAUCCAGCUGUGACAUCUGUUAACCCAUUGAUUGCCAGAGCUGAUUCAGCUGAUUUGGCUGCCUAGGUGGGUGCCCCCUUACUCGCUCACCACUUCUUGUAUGUCCUCCCCACUGUGUGCUCAAUUGAAAAGGAUGACCUUCUCCAAUAGUGGAGGACUGUUCUUCAGUCAAGGGUAUAUUAGUAGCUGCAUUGCCCUCCUAGAACCUCCAAACAAGCUCUCAAAGGCACUUUUUAAAGUAGUUAUGAUGCUUAUGUACAAUAUCAUUAUUGGGAAAAACUAGGUGA
ensembl:misc_RNA 7SK 7SK RNA